rnacentral:lncRNA from 10 species
AACUUGGUGAAAUUCCUCAGGGAUUUUGAGACAUCAAAGCGAAAAAGGAAAUGAAGCAAGAAUGAGCAGUAGUGGCUGUCUAUUGUGCUGGUUCAUCAUCAGAAACUUAGAUCUCUCUAGUUCUGGAAAGACUGAAUUUGCAGCAUCUGCUGAAAUGAGGAAUAAUCAAUGUUCACCAGCGGAAAUUGAAAAGCAAAGAGAUGGGGAAGAUUCCAAGGAUCCACUCAAGUUCCUGGUGUUUUUGUGAAUGUUCUGUGUUUAAGACAUGCUUUUGUUUAGGAGAAGACAUGAGCUGAGCCAACUGGGAUAAAGAAGAGGUUGAAAAUGCGUAUGGCUUAGACAGAGUAAAGAGUUUUAGAUAAAAUAUCGGGGUAACUUUUAGAGUCUUGGCUUAAGGCCAAAGCUUCUGAAUCAAGGAAAGAGUGACAGUUGCCUUCCUCUAUUUUUAUUAAUAUACAGGUGUGUUACCAUUAUUACCUGCCAGAAAGAGCAUAAUAUUAAUCCAAUCAAAUUAUAUGAGUCCUACAGUAGAAAUAUUGCAGACAUUUAAUAUUAUAUUGAAGUUUAAUUAAUGGUAAGACAUUUCAAGGUGGUAAUAGUUAUAUGCAGCUCUUUGGCUAAAAGUCAAAGUGUGAUAUAUACAGAAUAGAAACGAUGCUGGACUGCCAGAAAAUCUGCCUCUCCCUCCCACUCCCCCAAGAUCUAUUAGGAACGAGCAUUUACUGUUAUUAUUUCAAAUAUUUAUGCAAAGUAAUUUUAAAUGAUUUAAACAUUCCAUAUAUCAAUCAAAGUUAAUAAUAAGUUAGAUUCUGAAACAUUUGUGCCAUUAACAACAGUCAGAAAGAUAACAUUAUUUCAUUGGUAUUAAAUGAGGCAAUCAACAGUUUGAUGGAAAAAAAAAAAAAACUAAGUGUAUUUUUUAAAAUUACACUUUUACAUAGAGUUAGAAAACUAGUCCAUAGAAAGGAAACUGUUGACCAAUUACACGUUGUUAUAUCUAACUUGUAUAUUGUUCUUACUAUAGGCUAUGCUCUGUCCUCCUAGAUUUACAUAUAUUUGUAAUUUUUUCUCACAACAACCUUAUGAGUUGGAACUAUUAUUGACUCC